GAGGUUGUGGCUCAGUGCUAGAGUGCUUACCUAGCACAUGUGAGGCCCUGGGUUCAAUUCUCAGCACCACA
rnacentral:tRNA from 1 species